AGGACUCGCGACAGCAAGAUCCUUAUGGAAUCUUUGAUUCCAAAGAAUCUUUGCUUAGGGAUAUAGGGCCUUACAAGAACUUGGUUAGAUUCACAUCAAGCUCCAUGGAUCUCAAAUGCAUUCAGAGCUCAGCCUCCCUCCCUCUGUUCCAGAAAUUGAAGUGAGUCUCAAUCAAGAUAAACAGAAUUUUAAAACUUUUUCAUCAUCUUCCUUUUUAGAGAUAUUAACUGUUUUUUUUUUCUUUUAAAAAAAUAAAUAAACAGGAGUUUGAUGGAUGGUCUUGAGAAAGUGGAUUUGAGGUUCUUGAGCCAUCGACAAAAGCUAGCCUUUUGGAUCAACAUGUACAACGCUUGCAUCAUGCAUGUAUAUAUGCCAUUUUAUAUACACUGAAAUUGAUUAAAUCUAUGCAUACAAGUUUUGAAACUAUAAACUUAUAAAAUUCUAACUUUUUAAUUUUUUGAUUCAGGGAUAUCUUCAAUAUGGAAUUUCCUCUGUUUCCAGCCCUGAAAAGAUGCUAGCACUCAUCAACCAGGUCAAAUUGACAAUAACCAAUAACUUUCUUCUUUUUUUUGGGUGGGGGUGUUUAAUUGACAUCAACUUUUAUGCUAUUUUUCGUCGUGAUCAAAAUCCAAUAAUAUAAGUAUGAUUAGAAAGACAACGUUAGGAGCUUUCCAACAGUAUCUUUCGAAUUUUCCAUCAGAUUCUAGACAAUCAAGUUAUUAGCCACCGAACUUUAGAUUCUGGUCUAAUUCCAAAAAAAAUAAAACUUUAUGUAUUCUUUUACUAAAAAAAUAGAUUUAGUUAAAAAUAGAUUUAUGUAUUCUUUUUUUCUUUUAACAUGAACUGAUUGAAACACACUUAUUUGAACUCAGGCAACUCUCAACAUUGCUGGCAAUUCAAUCAAUGCUCAAACAAUUGAACGCUGUAUUCUAAGAAAACCAGCUGAUUCACAGGUAUUUUAAUUUUAUAAUUAAAAAAUUACUGAUUCAAAUAUUGAAAUCUGAUCGAUAAACCUGUAUAGAUUGUUGGCGCUAAAGAGAUGAUGCUUCACGAUCUCCACGGCCUGAAAUCCUCCGAUCCGAACAUCGUAUUCGCCUUAUGCUGCGCAACCCGUUCUUCUCCAGCAGUAAGUGAUCAAUUGAUUAAAAUUUCCUUGAUGAUU
rnacentral:lncRNA from 1 species